rnacentral:lncRNA from 1 species
AUGCUUCACCAUCCAGUGGCUCUAAAUCUCUCAAAUACACCAUCAUUGACAAUUUUGGCUGUAUGCUGGACAGCAAGAGCUGACCCCGGGGCCUCUCAGUUCGUCUCUCGGACAGAUGAGACCCUGAGAUUCUCCCUCAAGGCUUUUCAGUUCACUUCUGACCCUGACACGGAGAUCAAUAUUCACUGCAAAUUAUCAGUUGCACCAGAGGACCCGGGUCCUGCACACAAGUCAUGCACUUACAGAGGGAACAGGUGGAAGGCCCUCACUGGUGACGACUCCAUAUGUAAAUGCUGUGAUUCACAGUGUGUUACCUCUAAAGUCCGUAGGGCCAUGAUGGAAGGCUCUGCCAGCAGUGGGUCUUUGUUGGUCUCGGAUCAGCCGGACGCAGCAGAAGACUUUCUACCAGUCAACAUGAGCAGAGAAGGCGAGGCCACGAUAAAUCCUCACAUGGUUGAGCUGAUACACAGUCAUGAGAAACUUGGGGAAAGUGCGCAUGUAGUAAAGUACGAUAAUGAAGAGGUGCAAGGCAACUUUGAUGAAGAAGAUAAAGAACAACUUGAAGAAGAGGGUCAGCAUGAAGAAGUAGAAAGUGAGUUUAUACUUAGCGUGAUGACAGAACCUGAUUUAGAUGAGUGGGUCUCUGAAGAGGAUGGGACAGGGUAUGUUGUGCAAGUGGAGAGUGGAGAGGAGGAUGGAUUUGAGGGAAGAGAAGAUGAGACCCUUUUGAAUGAGAAGGCUGAAGUGUUGCAUCAUUCAGUGCAGUUGGAGCAAAUGUUCCCUUCAGAGGUGGGCCUGCAGAGAGUGUUGCAGCCCUCUAAAGGCAAGGAAGAGGACGGGAAACAUGCAGGUAGAGGUGAAGAGCAUGACAGGAUGAUCGAGGACGAGUGGAAGAACGAUGACAGUCUGGCAGAUUUAUUAGAUGAUUGAGAUAACCUGGUAUUUCACAUGGAGGUAGCAUUAGUUUAAUAGAUCGAUCAGUACUCUGCUCUAAGACCUAAGACUGUAACUGACAGGAUACUAUGAUUUACUUCAAUAAACAUAAAAAUGCAGUUGAUGGACUCUUGUCAUAACUUGAAACCAGGCUAAGCCACAAUU